AUGGAAACAGGAACGUAUGCUAUUAAAAAAAAAAGAGAGGAAAGAAAAAAGAGGAGAGAGAAGCUCACUUCCCCAUCCAUGCAUACAGCACGGCCCCACAGACCAAAUGCCCUUUGCACCUGCUCCCAAUCUGCACUGCAACACAGGAGGUGCCCCGUUAUGCACCCCCAGAGCCUCCCCAUGGCCACUCUCAGCCCCAAAGCAGCUCCUCCCACUCUGCAGUGCGAGAAGGGGUUAACUCCCAGCAGCUGCUCCCCAGAUGCCGGUUCUGGAAUUCACAUUUGUGUAAUAAUAAACCUCAGGGUAAGAGCUGGUGAUGGGGGAGCCGUUCCCCCCCCUUCCACUCCCCAUACUGGGUCAGGGGAAGCUGCUAGGCAAUGGCCUGGACCGCACAGCCCAGGUCAUCUCUCCCAGACGGCUUUCUGCUGCCAGCCAGAAUGCUUUUCUUCCCACUCCAGUACUGUAUUUCACACUGUGAGGAGCAGCAGGCAGCCACUGGAGCCCUCCACUGCCCUGCAGCACUGGGCUGGGAGCCACCAGCACACCCCUGCCUAAGGAGGAUCCUCACUGCCCAUGUCCACAGCCCCCUGGAACUGGGAGCACAACAGGUGGGAGGGGGAUUCACCCCUCUCCCUAGGGGCUCCACUUGCUGUGGGGGCUGCCCUCACCCAGGCUCCCCCAGCAGAUGGCAUCAGCUGGGAAAUCCCCAGCACCAUGGGUGGGUUUGCAGUUGUAAUGUUAUAAGGUCAUAGAAAGUACAGCAAUAAUAACAGAGUAGCAAAGUCCUAGGCUGCAGCAAGUGAGAAUAAGGCCAAAUACAGUAGCUAUAAACAGAGAAACAAAAGAAAAAAGGCUGCUUACCUUUGAAAGACCACAGGUAGACAGCAAUCUCCAGCAAGAUACCCCACCUCCACUGCCAACACUUAAAUGAGGGCUGGGAAGUGGUGGAUCCUGUCUCCAUCCCUUCCAUCACUCAGGUACAUUGCAUGCACCUGAGCUCCCCUGGGCUGGCCCCUCUUUCCCCCCAGCUGCUCCGUCGCUUUUCCAAGCCCUGACUUAGCAAUUCUGAUACAGGCCCUGCCCGUAGCCCCUCUGAUCUGAAGGCUCUGCAACAUCUCUUCUUCCUCCUGGGCAGUGGGGGGCUGGGGGUCACACUCCUGUGUGGCUCAUCCACUCCUGCUGCUUGGCUGCUCUACAGCAGCAUGAGCCCAGUGCACCCUACGGAGCCAGAGAGAGCAGUGGGUGCCUUUGAAAUGUGAAGAGUGUUUUUUAUGGGGACGCAGUGGAGGCUGCUGCUCCCUUGCUACAGGAAUCCUAGUGCUGCCGUGAGCUCUCACUCUGCUGUUGUCAUCCUGACAUCCCCGAGGCAGCUCUGAUGCCCCAAAGUAGGACCUGGUCCAGCCCUGCUCUCCUGUUCCCAUGCACAAAUGGAGCACAGGUUGCUGGGAUACAGCACUGCUGCCUCUUGCUGCCCCUCCCGGCUACACAUCUGCCCUUGCACAUUGCUGGGACUGCCCAACCCUGCCUGCGCGCUGUGCAGAGCUCUAGCCCAGCACAAAGCUCUGCAGCAACACAGGCAGCUCUGUGGGUUGGGGGCACAAACUGCACUUUAUGGGCAGCCCAGCAGCGUGAUGCUGCUCGCAGUCUGCUGCUGCUCCCGCUGUGCUGAGUGGCUUCUCCGACAGGCCAAAAAAAAGGAAAGCCAACCCUCCAAACGUAUCUCAGAAGGCCUCGUUAUGACUAUUUUAUUUGUUGGCACUGGCCCAGGAGCUUGUGGCCAAAGAGCCCUGAUUUCCCCCUCCAACUGCAGCUCUUUGGGGGAGCAGCCUGGCUGGGCUCCCAUGCUCAAGAUUCAGAGCAGUCUGGGUUUCCUUUGGAAAGUGCCGUUAAUUGACAUGAGAAAAUAAUCCAAGGCCCUUUCUCUCUCAGGCAGCAAUAGUUCUCCUCACGGGGCAUCCUGAAAAGCCGUGCGGCUUUUUUGGGACUGUGCAAAUGCACCAGUCAAAAUAACACUCCCCAGGCCAAAAACUCUUUCCUGGGGCAUGGCCGUUGGCUUCAGCAGCCGUGCUCCAGAGGUGUCCGCAGCCGCUUGCAUUAUGGGCUGCCUGUGGACUCGCUCCAGCACUGUGGCACUUUCUGCUCCCUUUCCACUUCCCCUCUGCUGGCUCAGUGUCCAGGGACUUGUUUACAGGGCUCUCUGCUGCUUCCCAUGCAGCACUGCUCCGAUGCCCAGCACCGCCCUGGGGACAGCUUGGUGUCACCUCUGCCCGCCCUGCGUGGGUCAUCCCACCCUGCGAGUCACUGAGAAAAAAACAGGGAAUGAUGGACAGAGAAGGUGGUAGGGGGGGGCAGGAGCCAGAGGUGCUGAGGACCCACGGUGCUCUCUUGUUUGUGGGUUGUAUGGAGGCUGUUAUUCUUGGACACCGAUCUCUUGUUGAGACAGCAUCCAUGGAGCAGGAGCUGCCUGAAGUGCAACGGAGCCUUGGGGUGCAAUGAAGGCUUGCAGCUCAGGGCAACUUCUGCAGGUGCAUCCUCUCCCCAGGCUGCAGAAAUAAGCAAAGGAUGCUGCUGUUAUUGCUACGAGAUGAUAAUUUCUAUCAGCAAUAAAAUUUGCUUUUACAUUUGUAUAAAAUACA
rnacentral:lncRNA from 1 species